AGACCACAGAACUUUCUAAGCCCUUUCAAGAUUCUCAUCUAGACAGAGAAGCAGAGACCAUGGAGCAUGGAACCCUCUUGGUAUGACAUUCUCUAGGCUGUCACACCGUGCAACAAAGGAACACCUCCUGAAACACCUCCGAUGAGAAUCAAGACUGUUGUGUGCUAUACAUUGCAGUGACUGCUGUACAUAUAGUUUCUGGCUCUUAGAGAAACGUAAUGGAUUCAUUAUGGAAAAACAAAGACUUUCAAUAUUUUCUGGUCAUCACUCUUCAGCCUCCUUCUGACACCAACUUUCAAAGUUUUUAAGGAGGUGGACUGAAGAGAGAAUAGCGUGUGUGCUGCUCUUCCAGAGGACCUGAGCUCCCAGCAUCCUGAAACUGCAGUUCAAGGGCACCCAAUGUCUCUGGUCUCUGACCAGAGGAGACACGUGUACAUACAAAAAGGGAAAUUCUGAUAUGGAGAGAUCAGCGUGAAAAUCAGAGUUCAUUGACUCUUCUGCCCCUUUAUGUCUACCUUCAGGUACCCGUCAGGAGGCCUGGCCAGCCCAGUUGGUUCAUGUCAACUGCCCUAUUAAAGUUCAAGAUUCUGUUUGCCCA